CGCCUUUUGUAGUAGAUAGAAGGUCUGACCUGCCCACUGAAGGAUUAAAGGGCCGCGGUAUUUUGACCGUGCAAAGGUAGCAUAAUCAUUAGUCUUCUAAUUAAAGGCUGGAAUGAAUGGUUGGACGAGGUAUUAGCUGUCUCAUUAAGAUUACUAGAAUUUAGCUUUUUAGUCAAAAGGCUUAAAUGGAGUUGGAGGACGAGAAGACCCUAUAGAGCUUUACGUUGAUUUUAUUUAGUUUGUGUGGUAACAUUUUAAUUUUAUAAAGUAGGCGUUUCGUUGGGGUGACGGGAAGAUAUGAGAAACUCUUUUUAUAAAAAUACACUUAUGAGUGGUUGUUUGAUCCAUUUAUUAUGAUUAUAAGACUAAGUUACCUUAGGGAUAACAGCGUAAUCUUUUUUAAGAGUUCUAAUCGACAAAAAGGGUUGCGACCUCGAUGUUGGACUAAAGGUAAUUUUGGGUGUAGCAGCUCAGGAUAUAGGUCUGUUCGACCUUUAUAUCUUUACAU
rnacentral:rRNA from 1 species